CACUUUCAAUUGAUGAGCUAUGAAGAGGAACCAGAGCCCUUUAGUGAUGCCCUACAGUUGGAGGAUACAACCAAGUGGGAGCAAGCCAUGGAUGAUGAGAUGAGUUGAAUGUCUAGGCUU